GGUGGUGUUGGUGGUGGUGGUGGUAGGGGCUGGUGAGCAUCAUGUUUUGCUACCUCUCUCAGUUGUAUUUAAAGAGACGUUGUUUUUGACCUGUUUGCCUAUUCCUCAGUCUGUCACACCAACAUGACCAGUCCUGCCGAUUGAAACUUUCUGGACACAAGCUUCAGUCUCUGGAAGAUUCUUGGGUGUCCUUCUCCCUCCAAGAAUUAAAUGCUACUUUGGAAACGCUCUUGACCAUGAAGUCUCCAUUAGGGAAGAGACAUUAGGGUUACCCCCACCCAGACGAGUGACAGCAGGGCAGACCCCAGACUUACGUAUGCCUGCAUAGGAGUUCCAUCUCUGGAUGUGAAGAGGCCAGGGGUGGGCCCUGCGCUUCCCACGUGGGACUCGCGAAGUGCUCACCUGCUUCCGUUACCUUCUGUCUUUCAUGAAUCAUGUUUGCGUUUGUGCUCUCCAGGGCUGUUCCCACUUUUCCCAUCUAAAAGGUGGAUGUUCCUUCUAUGCUUACAGGAUUUAUGGUGAAUCAUAGAGGAAAACCCGCAUUUUCAGUAUCUAAGGCUGCUUUUAAAACAUUUCUGAACAUUUCUGAGAGGAAGGUUAGCUCCCUCCCCCAUGCGGAGAGUGAUGGAAGGUGAAUCCCAGAACCUAAGCUCUUGUUAGCAAGGUCUGUCCUGGGACAUGCGUCCUCCGCAGGGCCCAUGUCACUGCCGCUAGCCCGGGAGGCCCCUGCCGACUGCACCUAUCCUGUGCUGUCCUUAAUUUUGAUAGAUUGUGCUUAGGUUCAUGCUUUCCAGGACUCAAUCCUUCUUUGGUAUUUAAAAGGUGGAUAUUCCUUCUAUGUUUAUGUUAUUUAUGGUUAAACAUAGAGGAAAUUCCACGUUUUCAGUAUCAAAUGCUGCUUGGAAACAUUCCUGGACUGAAACCACCAUCAGGGAAGAGACAAUAAAGUCCCCCCCCACUCCAGGGUAAGUGGAAAGUCGGUGGACCUCAGAACAUGUGCUGAAUUCGUGCCAUAUGUCUGCGGACCACCCACCCGCCUUGAGGAGACCCCUCUCGCGAGCUGCCCGCUCGGCCAAGCGGCUGGGCUCCGUCGUCAUUUUCUCCAUGAGGCCGAAUGCUCUCCUCUGUGCUAUGUUACUUUUGUGUUUGAUGGACUGUACUUAGGUUCGUGCUUUCCGGGAUGAAACCUUCUUUGGUAUUUAAAAGGUAGAUUUUCCUUCUAUGGUUACGUGUUUGAUGGUUAAUCAUAGAGGAAAAUCCACGUUUUCAGUAUCAAAUGCUGCCUUGGGAUCAUGGCUGGACUGAAGCCACCGUCAGGGACGUGAGGUGGGGCUGAGCCCUCCAGGGUAAGUGGAAAGAUGGUGGGCCGCAGAACAUGUGCUGAGUUCGUGCCAUAUGUCUGCUGACCAUCACCUUUAGAAGCCCCCUUUCGCUGAGGAGCCAGCUUGCUGCACAGGCUGUGGUGUGUUGUCACAGCUAUGCUAUGGGACUGAAAACGGUUGCUUUGCUGUCUUGCUUCCAUUUUCCAUGAACUGUGUUCAGAUUUGUCCUUUCCAGAGCCCAGUCCUUCUUUGGUAUUUAAAACGUGGAUAUUCCUUCUAUGUUUACGUGAUUCCUGGUUAAUCAUAGAGGAAAAUCCAUGUUUUCAGUAUCAAAUGCUGCUUUGGAAAUGUUUCUGGAAGAGACCGUAGGGCCUGAGUAGGUGCAAAGAUGGUAGGCUGCACGUCGUAUCUGAAUGAACGGGGUAUGCCCAAGAACCGUCUCGAGACGCCAACUUGGUGAAGAUUAAAUGGUGGGUCUCGUGGUGCCAGUUCUUCCCUGGAAGCUCGUCUGCCUCAUGUGACUUUCUUUUCUGAUGACUCAAGCACAGGUGCACGCUUUCCUGGAUGGAAUCCUUCUUUGGUAUUUAAAAGGUAGAUUCUCCUUCUAUGAGUACAUUAUUUAUGAUUAAUCAUAGAGGAAAAUCCACGUUUUCAGUAUCAAAUGCUGCUUUGAAAACCUCGGAGGACGUGAAGUCGCCAUGGAAGAGGAGAUGUUAUCUGUACCCCUCCUGGGUACAGGACGGACAGACACAGAAUUGUACUUUGUAUGAAAUACGCCGUCAGCUUCUCUGCUGUUUGCUCACUGCCCUUGGUGCACACAUAAUGUGUUGUUACAAGGCUGUGUUCUCAGUAUUGCCUCAUUGACCUUGAAUGAAGUUUGUUCUCUGUAUGUUUACCAUGAUUGCAAUGCAUUUUCUGGAAUGAACCUCUUUUACUGUGACUAGUUGUACCUUAGAGAAUACCUGAGUGGGCUGUCAAUUUCAGGAAGGGGCACUGCUUCAGGGGCUAUGGAAGGAAUAGAUGUGUGAUUCACCCACAGGCCUGCACUUCACACCUUGGUGUGCUGCUCUCACCAUGCAGAUCCCAUCUGUGUCUCUAAGGCUUGCUCCUGGAGCUGGUGGCAACUUAGUCACAGAGGAAAUGGCCUUCCUGUCACUGCCAUCAUUUGCUACUUGAAGAGAGGUAAUCCUUCAUGCAUUUGCUUUACUUGCAAUGAUUAUACAAGGGCAGACUCUCUCUGGGGAGCAAAUCCUGCCUGGGAAGCCUUCUUGGGAACAAGGCUGACUCCAGCAACCUGUUAGAUGGCCAGGAUAGCCCUGGGGUGUGGAUGGUUGACCACAGGGCAUGUGCCUCUGUCUUGCUAUUUGUGACCUGGUUCUCUGACCCUCCUCAUCUCAUGCGUCCUUCCAAGAACUUUCUGGAAGAGAUGCUGGCUUUGGAGAUGAUAUAGGGUCUUCUUUUCAGACCACCUGUUCUGCCUAGCAAAAAGGGCCUACCUUGGCUGUGCACGGUGGCUCACGCUUGUAACCCCAGCCCUUUGGGAGGCUGAGACGGUGGAUGGCUUAAGCCCAGGAGUUCGAAACUAGCGUGGGCAACUUGGCAAAACCCCAUCUCUGCAAAAAAUACAAAAAUUAGCUGGGUGUCAUGGUGUGCGCCUGUGGUCCCAGUACUUAGGAGGUUGAGGCUGGAGGAUCACUUGAGCCCGGGAGUUGGGAGGUUGUAGUAAGCCAAGAUUGUGCCACUGCACUUCAGCCUGGCUGACAGAGACCCCUGUCUCAACACAAUAGGUUAAAAAAAAAGAAAAGAACAAAGGGCCUCCCUUGAUGGGCCCUACUUAUCACAAAGCAUCCAUGGGCUGCUACUCUGGCAGGUCUGCCCAGCAUGAUGCCAGCCUCUGGGAAGAGGUCUCGUGGUCAGUGCAUCUCCCAGAUACAUGAAAAAAUGACCGUCAGCAAAGUCAAUGUCUAAUGUAGAUGUGGGUCAUCUGGUCUACCCACUCUCCAUACCUAGCCCAUCCUUGGAGUGACUUUUGGACCUCACUGUCCACUUGAGGGAAGGCCAGUCCACAGGAAGGAGGCCCCAGAGCACCCAGUGUGGCUACAGGACUUGCUGCUGGGACCUCUAAGCCCCACUGCUCUCUUAGUCCAUUGGUGUCCUUUAGGGAUUCUUGCCAAUGGAAAGACCCUUGGAUUCCUGGUGUUAGUAUGUGUUUAUUCAGAGAGAGUUGGCCCAUGAGAAUCUCAUUUUCCUUUGACGAAUCUUGCCCUAGAUGAAUACUUCUGAGUAACAACUAACUGCUCAGAUGGCUUUCUGAAUACAAUGCCAAAUUCAGGAGAAGGGACACUUGUCACAGUGCUGCUUUGUGAUUUGCAAACGGAGUGUGUUGGAUUUCUGUUUCUCUUUUUUCUUUAAUGAUGCAUGUUACUGCAUCUUCUAACCUCCCUUAGCCAGUGUUCACCAGGAGGGCUUCCUGGAGGCAGUGGCUUUGGGCAGAGGCAGAGGUUCUUCUCCCAGGGUGUUUUUGCAGGCCCUAAAGGGAUUUCAGCCAUUUUACAUUUACAUUAUUUCAAAUGGUACAGGAUUGCCUGUCUUUUGGUAACCAAUCCUGUCUUGAAGAGAUGCUGGGAAGUAAAGUCAACUGUAUGGCAGGCCCCAGCUCCAGGGCCAGCCAGAUAAGGCUUGUCACCGGGCCCCUCCCCCUUGGUCUCAGGCCUCGCAGGAGAUGUCCACUCGGCGAAGACCCGGCAUAGUCCUCACCUGCUCUUUGAGCCACUCUUUGGUACUUGAAGAGAGGAUACCCUUUGUAUGUUCACUUGAUUAAUGGCGAAUAUACAGGGGGAGACUCUUAUUUGCGUAUCAAACUCUGUCGAGGAAGACGCUCAGACCCUGCUGUCUCCAGGACAAAGCCUCGGAUGUCAGCCCCUCUCAGGUACGGCUUGGCUUCCCUGUCUGGGAACGUGAGCUUGGCUGUGAUCCUAGCCCUUGGGUUCUGCCUUCACUCUCUGUGCUGGUUCUUCCUGUGGACUCCCUGGAGGCAGUGGGAGAGGAGGGUCCUUUUUGUGUGCACUGAGUUUAAUGGUGGUUUGCCUUUUUUAAGGAUAAAUCACAUGGAUCUGCCUCUUCUCCAUACCAAGUCAUACCCAGAGGGCUUCCUGCUUCCAGCACUAACCUCGCACCUCUCCGGACACACGAAUGGGUGGUGGAUGGUGGAGCGCAGAGCCGAUGCUGCUUCUCACCUGCUACUCCCCUGACCUGCUACUCCCUGGUGGUCUCCAUCCUUGAGAGAGUGUCAGCCUUGAGGGAAGCACAUGGAUGUCAGGUUGUUCUAAGGCAAGUUACUGGUGGAGCUCCCUGAGCCUGCCUGUGCCCUCUGGGACUGUCGCUGGACUCCAGUGGCCAGUCCUCGGAGCACAUUGUCCAGUGAUUGCACCUGAGUGUGCCUUGGGCAGGUGUGUCUGGUCUUCAGGACUCCUUUGUCGCUAGAGUCUGACGCUGGGGCCCUCUUUUUGUUUGUUUCGAGGCAGGUACAGGUGACACAUUCUUGGAUCUGGUCAUCUCUAGGACAACCAGCCUCAGAAGAGAGACAUUGUCUCAGCGCUCUCCAGCUCUGAGAAUGCCUGCAGAUGCCUUCUUCUCUGAUAACUCCAUGUCUUGCCGGGCUGAGCCCUCACACCCUGUGCCCUUUUGGAGAAAGGUGAUGGUUCCAUUGUCCGUAUAGCUUGUGGGUAUUUGAAGCAGGUUCACCCAUGCAUGCUGAGCACACUGAUAGUCAUGCCUACCUGUUCCCUUGUUUAGAAGCCAGUCUCGCCUGCAGGGAGUCCUGGAUAUGCCACCUUUCGGGGCCAGGCCACAAUGUGCAAGGUGCAGGCCCAGCUCCAGGGUCAGCCAGAUGAGGCUUGUCACCGGGCCCCUCCCCCUUGGUCUCAGGCCUCGCAGGAGGAGAUGUCCACUCCGGCAAAGACCCGGCAUGGUCCUCACCUGCUCUUUGAGCCACCCUUUGGUACUUAAAGAGAGGAUACCCUUUGUAUGUUCACUUGAUUAAUGGCGAAUAUACAGGGGGAGACUCUCAUUUGCGUAUCAAACUGUCGGGGAAGACACUCAUACCCUGCUUGUCUCCAGGACAAAGCCUCGGAUGUCAGCCCCUCUCAGGUAUGGCCUGGCUUCCAUGUCCGGGAACGUGAGGUUGGCUGUGAUGCUGCCCCUGGGUUCUGCCUUCGCCCUCUAUGCUGGUUCUUCCUGUGGACUCCCUGGAAGCAGUGGGAGAGGAGGGACCUUUUUGUGUGCACCAAGUUUAAUGGUGGUUUGCUUUUUUAAGGAUAAAUCACACAUUGAUCUGCCUCUUCUUGGUACCAAGUCAUACACAGAAGGCUUCCUGUUCCCAGCAUCAGCCUUAGAAGGGGGACCUGGAUGUUGGAUCAUUUCAAGGGGAACACAGACAGCAGUGAUGGUGGACCACGGAGCACUGGCUCUGUCUAUGCUGUUUGCGAGCCUGGUAGGCCAGCCCCAGGAGGGCUUCCUGGAGGUGGUAUUGACCUUGGGGAAGGGGCUGAGGUGUGCUCAUCAGCGCUUUUUUUUUUUGAUGCUUGGGUGUUCAUGAUCCAGCUCGCAGUCCCCAGGCUGAAUCUGUAAGAAUGGUUUGCUUCUAUUUGUCAUUUGUGAUUGCCCAUGAAGGCAGCGCUGGGGAUGAGCCAUGGGAGCUGUCAGCCCCGCACCAGGUGCGUGCAUGUGGGAGGUCAGAGGGCGCCUGCUUCUGCCUCGAUGUCUCUGCCCCGUCUCUGACUGCCGGCUUUCUGCUGACACCUAGGAUGGCUGCCUGAGAAUGGGACUCUUGUUCUGUGUUUGUGGAGACACUCCUUGGGCCGUGUGACUGCCGGCUUUUUACACCCCGACUGCCAUGGGGGUCAUCUGGACCCGAAGCCAGCUUCAGGAAGGACAUUCGCAGCAUCCUCAGCCCAAGGAAAGCGAACGUCCAGCUGAAGAGAGGUGAGCACCACGCCUGGGUAAUGAGUCACAUAACCUGCCACCUGGACCAGGCGGCUCCCGCUCCUCUCCCCUUCUUGAAGGAGAGACCACUGUGGGGAAUGGGCUGUGGGUCUGCUUCCUCAGUUACUUGGGGGUACGUGGGGUUUACUACUGUUGACCAUGUGCUCUUUCUUAGCAUGGCUUCAUGGACACGAUGCCAGCCUCUGGCAGGGGUGGGGCAAGGGCUGGCAUGGAGAAUGACACUGGUGUCAACGGCUCUGUGAGAUGGAUGAAGGAAUGGUGACCACAGGGCCUUUGCUUUGUCUAAGGUGUAAAUUCAUCCAGUGCCUGGGACCUCGGUGCUGAGUGCAUCCUUAGGAAAACUUCCUGGAGAGGUGCCCACACUGGGAAGGAGAUGGUGGUCCCACCCCAGGGAAUUCCUAUAGAAAGUGAGAAGCUGAGCUCUGCGUGUGCCCAGGAAGGCCCGUGGGGUGGAUCUCCUUUUCAGGAACAAGUUCUAAUCUGGAGUGAUGCCUGGAAAUGAGGCUGAUUCUCGUGAAGGGGCACUGGCAUCUGCCCCUUCCUGGCCCCUUUGGGAUGGAGAGCUGACCUAUGGGCACACAGCUGGCAGGUGGUGUUUGCCACCUGGUCUGCUGAUCCCGCAUCUCCCACCCCCUCCCCCCCCAGGAUGAACCCCGGGAGAGGAGGCCGGCCCCGUGAAUGAUAGUGAGGAACCUGCCCAGUGCUAUUGUUUGGUACUUAAAGCGAGGUUGCCCUUUGUAUAUUCGGUUUAUUGACAUGGAAUAUACAAGGGCAAGCUCUCUGUGAGUAUCAAACCUUGUCUUGGACCCAGUCCACACUCAGCAAGGGAUGCGGUAUGUGUGUGCAUGACCGUGUGUAUCCGUUUUGUGUGUGGCAAAUCGUUCACGGGUCCCCACUUCACAGAGAGGACUUCACGAGCACCUGGAUGACUUUAGGGAAGGCAGUGGCCUCUGGGACAUCCCCUCUCCUGGUGCAGUGUGGGCGGGGCCAAAAGCAUGCACGAUGUGUGUGGUCUGGGUCCCUGCUUCCUGAGCGGGCAGUCAUCAGCCCGGGCUGAUGGCUGGGGUGGCGCUCGUGUGGGGUAGUGGCUUUGUGGUCCCUGCUGUUACUCGGUCCGUGAGUGUGCAUGUUCUGCUUGGGGUAUGUGACCCGGUCCACUAACCCUCAGCAUCUAAUUCAUCCCCAGGACCGCGCCUUGAAGACGUACCAAGUCCACCCAAGGCAGUGGCUUUCUUUUCCGUGCUAACCUUUGGUACUUGGAGAGUGGUUAUCCCUGUCCUGUUCGUUUUGCUCAUGUCGAAUCGUACAGGGUCAUCCACUUUUUCAGUAUCAAGAGCGCAGACUCUGGAGCUCGAUUUCCUGUGUUUGGAUCCCACCUCUGACAUUUACUAACCGUCCAACCUUGGGCAAAGAUCUCAUCGUGCUGUGCCUGUUGUCUCACAUGUCAAAGGGGAAUCACAUUGGCGUCCAUUUCUUGGGGCUGCUGGGGCUGAACGAGUUAAGACUUGUACACGGCUCAGAGCAGAGCCCCGUGGUCGGCACGUCGUAGGUGGUAGCCAGGACCCUUGUGUGCUGUGAAACUGUCAUUGGUGGUGGUGGUGGUGGUGGUCUCAUGACUAAAGUCUCUCCAUGGGUGUUUGGAACAAUGUCAAAACACGGAAGUCAAGUCCUUCAUCGGGUAUGGAAUGGACUACGAAGCCCAGAGCAUACACGGUGUUUACAAUGGGGGCUAGUGAUGCUCUUGAUGCUUGGCAGCUAAGCCAUUCACACAGUGGCUUUUGAUACAGAAUGCCACAUGCAGUGGGGGUCAGCAGGGAUGCCGAGAACAUUUGCUCCACUUAAGAGAGACAGUCCCUGGGUUCUUGACCUCGGCCACUAUCUACGCUUUGAAGGAGUCUUGAGCGAGGAUGCCAAGCUGAGUGAGGAUUCUAUGGCAUCUUGCUUCCCUGGUGCUUAAAGAGAGGUCAGACUUGGUGCAUGCAUUGUGCAUGCCUGUGUGUGCGUGGUGUGUGUGCAUGAGCGAGUGUGUGACUGGGUUUGCCACGAAGCAGUCACCAUCUAACCUUGAGCCAAAGACCUGGAGGUGGUGGUCCGUGCUGCUGUUUCAUACUUGAGGAGAAAUUAUCCUUGGUGUGUUCGCUUUAUUUAUGAUGAAUCAUACAAGGACAAUUUCUUUUUGAGUAUCAAAUCUUGCCUCGGCAGACUUCCUGGACGCCAUGACAAGUUCUGUAAAGGGAUGCACGCAUCAGCCCUUCCCAGGGGCUCACGCCUGGGUGGGGAUGAGGGCGCAUGCAGUUGGUUUGUGGUGGGGACACUUGUGCCCUAACCUCAGAACCCUGGAGGCGGGGCCAUGCUUGGCAGGGGGCCACGGGACUCCUUGGUGCUGUCAGGGAUUUGCAUUGGCCAUGGGCGUGUGUUGUGGGUGACGCAGCAUUCAAGCUACUUAUCAAAUCCUGCUUCUUGGAGGCACUUCUUGGACAUGAAGCAAACCUUAGGGACCGAUCAUUGGGGCCAGACCCCCUUCCCCUGCCCAAGAGUGUGACUGAACCCCAGGCAUGGGCUUGACUCUCAAUGUGUGAAGCUGACCUGCUAAUCCUCAUUGUUUGGACUACCUGAGAAGAACUUUCUGGAAGAGACACCAACUUUGGAGAAGAUGCCCAGCUCUUCUUGAUGGCACAGUUCUUUGGUGCUUAAAGAAUGGCUGUCCGUAGUAUGGUCUCUAUAUUUAUGAUGAUUAAUAUCGGACAACCAUUGUUUUAGUAUCCAAAUUUGCUUCAGAAGUUUUUGAAAGCACAGUGCUGACUUCAGUGAGGGGACAUCGGUGCCUGCCCCACCAUGGAGUGUGACUGUGUUGAUGAUUUAUAAUAAUGAAUCCAGUGAUCUCAGAAUGCAAGCCACCAGUGUGAUUUCCUUGGACAAAUGCUAGCUUUGGGGUGGAGAUGCCAUUUAGGGGCUUGGUGCCAUAUCUUUUUCUUUGAAGAUGUUCACAAUUAUUUCAUCUCUCUUUCUCUUCUUGUUAUUAAAUCUUAGCCACAAGGAAUUCCUUGGAGAGAUGCCAGGGUCAAGCAUCUCUCUAGAUAGAUGGUGGACCAGGGAACCUGGUUCCAGCCUCUCCUAUCUUUAGCUUUCAUUCUGAGUAUGAAACACUUCCUGUAGGGAAUGCAAACAUUAGUAAAAACUCCGUACAUUUCCUGUUACUAUUACUGCUUUUUGGCAGCUCCUAAGCAGCUGCCUGUUGGGUAUUUGGAUUAUUCUUGGUGGACGUGGCAUGGCUUCGUGCCUUCCUUGGGAACCACCCCAUCUUAGACAGACUCUCAUGGAAUAAGAUGUUGUGAUCGACAGCACCUCUGGGGUGUGUGUGUGUGUGUGUGUGUGUUUGUGUACAUAUGAAUUGUUGGCUACAGUAGUGUUUCUCAAACUUUAAAAAUGCUCCUAAGAUUUUCAUCACCUAGGGAUCUUGUUAAAAAGCAGAUUCUGAUUCAGGGACCAAGAUUCUGCAUUUUUAGCAAGUUCUCAAGUGAUGCUAAUACCGCCGGUCUGUGGACAACACUCACAGUGGUUUGGGGCUGGAGACCAGGUGCUUUCCCUGUGAUAUGUGUCGCCUGUCUCCCCACAUGCCAUAUACCGUCCAUCGUGGGAGAACGGCCCAGAAUCAACGUGCCAUGUUUUGGUUUGUGAACAAGGGUUCACUUUCACAUGCAUAAAUAGCAUGAGAUUACUUUUCUUUAAAAUCAAAUCAUGCCUCAAAGGGCUUCCCAGAUACAAGACCUGCUUCAGGGAGGGGCCGCCGGUGUCAAGCUGCUGCAAGAUUGUCAGGUGCAGGUCAACGGCACGCUUAUUCAUUAUUGAUGUGCUGGGCCCUGGAAUUCUGUGACCCUCCGUUUCCAAGCAGUCAUUGGGAGGAAAUUCCAGGAACUGAGACCAUCUCUGCGGUAGGGACCCUGUCUUCAGGGAUCAGUGACACCCCAUUUUAUCGGAAACAGAAUCUUCAUGAUGGCUUUGCUUAUCUCUGACAUGCAUUCUGCUGGUUCUCGUCAUCAAAUCCCGUCUUUCAGGAAUCCGUGGAGGAAGCUUUCAUAUAUUUUUAAUGGAACCUGCCUUAGAAGUCUUUCUGAGCAUGCUUCCAAUGUCAGGGUUUUGACUUUGGUGCCAGGGCUGCCUGGGCCCUGAGACUGAGGUACGGGAAUGGAAGGUCAAUGCCAGUACAUGUGCUUUCUUUGCAGGAUGUGAACACCUCCCUGCCCCAACCCUGGGAUUCAGCUCAUCCCAAGAAGAAUCUUCUGGAAGCAAAGACAACGGUGGGGAAGAGGCCAUGGUUUUCGUUUCAGAAAUAUUCAAGGAUAUUUGAGGAGAGGUUAUCCGUGUUAUGUUCGCUUCAUUCAUCAUGAAUAAUACAUGGUUAACCUCUUUUUGAAUAUCAGACUCUGCCUCGGAGGGCCGCCCCCACAGGAGACGUGAGAGUGUGUGCCUUGUGUGAGCUGAGAGCCCCUGCCCCGGCUCCGUGCUGCGUGAGGGAAGCUUCCUGGAAGUGAGGCUGGUGGGGGGAAGAGCCCUGGGUUGCUUUGCUGUGUUUGCUGUGAAUGCGAUGUGUUUUUGCGAGUUAUGUGAGGUUCCCUCCUCUUUGAAUGCCAACUUGUGCCUUCCCCCAGUGGCUGGGUCUGUGGCUUAGCCACAGGGCUAGGUCCCUUCCUGGACCCAGUGCUUUUCAGGGUGGGUCCCUGGGGGCAAGGACAAGGUUUACCACUCCACUGGGACACUUGAGGAGAGGUUGCUUCCUCCAUGCGGACUCCUUUGAGGACAGCCUGUUUUCCUCUCAGGGUGGCUCCCUGGAUGAAGUCCAGCACCUCUGUGGGUGUGUGAAGGGCAGGCCGACUUGGGCUGUGUUCCCACUCCUCACCCAGGUCACUGGCCCAGUGCCACUUCCUCCUCAGGUCAGCUUCCCUCUGCCAGCCGACCUGGUGGGGUCUCCUGGUCCAUUGCUUGGUGCUCAUAGACACUGGCACGGUGCCAGGUUCCCUUCACUCCUUCCCGAUGGAGACCAUGCAGCUAAUGAUUCUUCGGCUCUGUGAUGCUGCCUUGGAGGGUUUCCUGCACACAGCACCUGGUUUGAGAGGAGAACACGGACUCCAGCGUGUCCCCUGGUUAUGGAGCAGGGAGGCUGUCCUUGAUCCCCAGUUUGGUGGAUGAUAUAGUUUGGCUGUGUCUCCACUCAAAUCUCAUUUUGAAUUCCUUUGUGUUGUGGGAGGGUCCUGGUGGGAGGUAAUUGAAUCAGGGGAGUGGGUCUUUCCCAUGCUGUUCUUGUGAUAGUGAAUGGGUCUCAUGAGAGCUGAUGGUUUUAUAAGGCAGAGUGUCCCUGCACAAGGUCUCUGUUUGCCUGCUGCCAUCCACGUAAGACCUGACUUGCUUCUCCUUGCUUUCCACCAUGACUGUGAGGCUUACCCAGCCACGUGGAACUGUAAGUCCAAUUAAACCUCUUUCUUUUGCAAAUUGCCCAGUCUUGGGUAUGUCUUUAUCAGCAGCCAGAAAAUGGACUAACACAGUGGAGGGCAGUGGCACCAAGCCCCGCCCCCUUCAGGAUGUGGUCCCUGUGUGGGGCAGCAUCCUGGAGUGGCUGCAAAGCCCCACUGCUCUCUGCCUCCGUGGCUUUGUCCUAUCUGAGGUGGCCAGUGCGCUGGGGUCCCUGUGUGGAGUCAGUUCUUUAUGGGUGCCUGCAGGUGCCGGCUUCACAGUAAGAAAACUGUCAGCUUCGCCUGAGGUAUGGGCACAGAGGUGACGCAGGGAUAUGAACUUUGUUGACGAAUGUGUUCUCUGCACAGCUAACCCAGAGAAUUCAUUCCACCCUCAGGAGAAGCCCUAGAAGUGAUACGGGCUCUGGCCGGGGGACCCGAUGUGCUCGUGUCGCGGCGUGGGGCUUGGUGAGGAACCACCGGAGUGCUCUUGCAUUUUUCAUGACAAAGACCACACAGUUGGCCUCAUUCCUGCACAGUGGGAGAAUGUGUGGAGGUGUCCCGCCACCAGAGAGGAGGUCUAUGUCAGCACCAUCACCAGGUACCUGGGGGAGGGUCUGCUGACGAUGCCCAAUGUUCAAUGGCCCAAGCAACCCGUCCUUGGGGGACUUCCGGGCAAGACCGUUUCAGGACUCAGCCCCACUCCGUGUCCCAGGCAGAGAGGGGGCUGAAUUGAUGAUACCUAUUAAAUGGCUCAUUAAUUCUCAUUAUCCAUGCAGCCUGCCCAUGAGGGUCCCCCAGAAGGGAGGGCAACUCCAGGGAAAGGUUCUGGCCAUCAGCACGAGGCCACGGUCCAGGAGGUGCUGCAGAGCCAGAGGCCACAGGACAGAUUAUCAAGCCAGGUCACAGGCUUUCUCUGUCCUUGACCCUCAGCAUCCAGGCUACCUGCAAGAGGAGGCAGGGGGACUCCUCUGACACACCUGGGGAGGUCUCGUCAAUGGCAGGUUCCCUCUACAAUGCUUUCUCUGCUGCAAAUGCAACUCAGCAUCACCUCUUUCCUGGAUAUAAUUCCAAGGAAUUAUUAAGGGAGGCAUUGGUGUCAGCACCUCGUGAAAUACUUGUAAGGAUGACCCAUGGCAGAGCCUGUGUCUUCAUUGGAGUAAGACUCACAUGCUGUGGCCUCCAGGCUCUGGAGGCCUCGGGGGCAGAGCAGGGUUGAGGCUGACCAUGGGGCCUCGCCUGGGUUUGUGGCUUAUCAUAUUGGACCACUGUUUUUCAGGACAAACUCCCCGGAGAAGUCCCCCAGCAGGACCCUGACCUGGAGGCAGGGUGCUGUCCAUGAUAGGGGAAUGGAUGGUUGAUCAGAGAACGUACAUUUUAUAAAUGGUGUAUGUCAAUUGAUCCACAGUCCCUACCUAUCCAGUGACUUCUGGAGGCCACAUCAGCUCGGAAGAUGAGGUGGUGGUUUCCUAGGCCAUGCUGUUUUCUGGCACUUGAAAGGACCUUCUCCUUGCCGGGUUUGCUUUCUUUAUGGCCAGUCUCAUGAGGGAGGAUUGGUGCCUUUUUUGAGUAUGGAUCUUGCUGGGGAAGCUUUCUGGAAGGAGCUGUUGCCCUUCGUCCCUCUCCAGGGGCAAGAAUGCAUGGUUGGCUGGAAAGCAAGGGCUUGAUUGACAUUGUGCACCCCUCAACUCUCCUAACCCUCUGUCCCCAAUUCAUCCUCAGGCGGACUAGCUGGAAGGAAGGCAGACUCUGGUGAAGACGUGGGCCGUCACCGUCAGCCUUCGGUACUUGAAGAGUGGUUAUCCCUGCUGUGUUCGCUGAAUUUAUGACGAAUCAUACAGGGACAUCCAGUUUUUCAGUAUCAAAUACUGCUUUGGAAGGCUUCCCGGACAGCGUCCCGCCUUCAGGCAGGGGGUCUUGGCUUCACCUCCCACCCAAGGUAUGUAUGUGAACGGGCCAUCGCAGUGCACGAGCUUCUUCAUGUGCCACAGCCAUGACCAGAAUCGAAUCUCUGAGGAAGAUGGUUACUUCUAAGGCUGUGAUUUUCUGGAAGGGGCUUUGGUGUCUGCACUACAUUAUUGGGGGAAGUUGACCAGUGAGAAGCCCAUUCACACAAGACGUCUGUCACCUGCUCCAAGUGCCCCUCACCUUUGGUAAGAUGAAUCUCUGGAGACAUGCUGGCUCGGUAGUGUUACUGUCAUCAGCCGGACUGACUGAUAGGUAAUUGGUCAUCAUUAUUGCUUUUGUUCCAGGGCAGAAUUUUUGAGUGCCAAAUCUUGCCAGGGAAGGGUUUCUGGAAGCAGCACCGCCCUCUGGGGAGACUUGGCAUCCACAUCUGUUGGAGUUUGUGGAGAGUUAGUUGAGCAGUCUGAGCUUUGUUUCUGAGGCGUCUCCCUGAGCUCACUCUCCUGCCAGAGCUGUGUCCUGCCCAUGGCCGUAAUGGCUAUUGAGAGGGUUGGUGACUUUGGCCACCAUGAUUUUGUUUUGAUAAAGUUCUCUCUUUUUUAAAAAAUCAGAUUCUUUUGUUUAUAGCAUAACUACAUGGUUCAUGAGUUGAUCAAAUAACAAGGAAUGACUUAGUCAUUCCAUAAAUUGUGAUGGAGUGCACACUGUGUUCUAGGUGAUUCUGGACCUUAGCAGAGAGCAGUGAAUGAAAUCAAGUUCUUGCUCAUGUGGACUUUACAUUCUGGUGGAAGAGACGGAUGAGAACACAUGAAUUAGGAAGCGUAAUUUUGUCCACUGCUAGGUUUUAUGGGGAAAGGGAAAGCGGGUUACAGUGACAGAAAGAGGUAAAAGCAGGUGGACCUUUGUGUUAAAUACAGGGGUCUGGAAAGCUCUCUCUGAGGAUGUGGGUGGGAAUGGAGUGGGGUGGACCAGAGGAAGGUCUGGGGUAGGAGCAUUUCAGGAGGAGGGCAAGGCCCGUGGAAAGCCCCCUGGCAUCUUUAAGAAAAAGCAAGAAGGCCAGUGGGAUUGAACCGAGCUGCUGGGAGUCGCUGGGUCUGAGCUGGGAGAGGCAGGACUCCAGGUUUUAUUCUGAGUGAGAUGGGGGAUUUGGAAGGGUUGUGAGCAGGGGGGAUGCGUGGUCUGUGUUGGAAAGAUCACUCUGACCACAAGGGCAUUGAUAGAGAAUCUACCCAGGGCAGUGAUGGGGAACCUACCAGGGGCCUGGCGUGCCUGAGCUGGGCAGUUUCUCUAGGGGCACCUGCAGUGGCAAAAGGGGGCUCCCUCUGGACCUCCCUAGUUCAGUGGGCCCUGCGGGAGCCUGGCUGGCACCUUGAUGUGCUUGAUGGAUAACUCAGUGUGCUCUGUUGAGAAGUCCAAGGCCCUGUUCAGAAACCCUGGGGUCUACACACUGCGGAGUGCUCCUGGCCUGUGACAAGUGGCCUCCCUCUUCUUAUUUCUAAAUCUUGCGCGUGUGGAUUCAGGACCACAAUUUCAACUCCAGGGAAGGGGGACUGUGCCAGCACCACUCCAAGGGAGGUGAGUGAAGGGUUGCCCAAACUCCAGUGUGUUCCUAGGACACCCGUCAGCUGCCUCACUAAUGCUCGGUGUCCACUCUGUCCACAGGAUGGUGGUUGGCAGCCACUCCCCUUGGAGAAGUGGAAGGGGACUCCUUGUCUGUCUUGUCUCUGCUUUUCUGUGGUACUUGAAGAGAAGUUGUUCGUGGUGGAUUCGCUUUACUUAUGACGAAUCAUUCACGGACAACACUUUUUUCAGUACCAAAUGCUACCUCUAAGGACUUCCUGGACACAAUGGCAGCUUCAGGAAAGAUAGUCUUUGUGUCAACCAUGUGGAAAAGCCAAGAAUGGAUGGCGGGCCAUGGACAAUGCGCUGACCUAGCUGUAAGUCACCUGGCCCGAUAAUCCGAGCCUCCCAUGCACCUAUAGGAGAUCUUCCUAUGGGUCUCACCAACUCUGGGGAAUCAGCUGUGGUUCUGUCACCAGCGUCACCUCACAAGACUUUGAAGAGAGGCUCCCUGGGCCCCAGGCCGACUUCCAGAAGAGAUGUUGGUGUCAGCACCGUCCAGGGUGUGUGACUGGUUGACCAGAGGGGCAUGCACUGUGUUCACCCUGUGGGCCACCUAGUCACCAACCCUCAGCAUCACUCCCACUCCAGGAAGACUUUUCCAGAGCUCCCACCAACUCUGGGGAAGCGGCCAUGGACUUGCUGUGACUGCUUGGUGGACUGGGAUGACACGUGCUCUUGGGGGUGUAUGUUUACUUAAAAUGCAAUGAGUCAGCCUUGGCAGCCCCUUCACCACUGUGACAGCCUCCUUGAAGUGGUGACUUCCGAUGUGGGACGCCAUGUUGUCUUCUGUUGAGGGACCUGAUGUGGGCCAGCUUUUCUCCUGAGUGUGUGACUGAAUCCUUCUUCCCAGAGCAUGUGCUGCGUUUGUUAGGUCUGUCAUGUCGUCCUCUAAUACCCAGCAUCCUGUCUCUCCCUAGGAGGCUCCAUGGAGAUAAUGCGGCUUUGGGAAGCGGCCAUGAUUCUCCUGUCAGGGACCAGUGAGCUACGCAAAAGCUCCCUGUCUUGUCUGGAAGGACGAACUGCAUCCUUGCUGCUGGGGAGAAGGCGGUGCCCUCAGCACUCCCUUAAGGACUCCCGAGAAGGGCGGCCACCUCUGCCAGAGAGGCAAUGGAUUUCUCACCAGUGUUCAUGUGUGGUACUUGGAGAGAGGCUGGCCGUGAUGAAUUCGAUUCAUCAAAGCGAGUCAUACACGGCUCUCCUCUCUUUUAGUGUCAAAUUCUGCCUCGGAGGGCUUCCUGAGCCAGUGCUGCCUCCAAGGUAGGUUUCUGGAUGGCUGAACCCAUGGCAAGCAUUUUCCUGAGGAUGCAUGUGACUGACCUACUAACUUUAGAGUCCAAGCUGACCCUAAAACAACUUCCUGGGGCACUACCAACUUUAGGAAAAUCGAGAGAGGUGGUUGGGAUGCCCUAAUUUUUUAAAAGUUAAGAUUGAAAUACACAUGGCUGACUCCUUUUCUUAUUCCUAUCAAAUUCAACCUUGGAGUUGAAUCUUGGGCAUCUAGAAGCAUCUUUUAUUAGUCAGCCCUCGGGAUACAGAAGAAAACAGAAACAGGACUCUGUGUGACCCCUGGUUUACUAACCCACAGCAGCCUUACACCCUCCAGAGAAUUCCUUUAAGGGAAUCCCAGGUUUACCAAGGAGGCAGUGCUUAGCCUGCUUUUGCACACACAUUUGUGUGUGGUUUGCUUCAUAUUUAAUGACUCAUGUGCCACUGACAUCCUUGCAUUAUUAAAUGUUGCCUGCAUGGCCAGGUGAGCACAGGAAGUGGUAUUUCUGUGCACACUAAUCCUGGCUUGGUGAACCUGGGGUUGGCUGGAGAGCAUGGGUUUGAGCCACCUGGUCCACUCAUCCUCAGGGUCCCAUCCACCCUCAGAGGCCACUCCCAAGCUGCCCAGGCUGUGCAGAAGAUGCAGGAAUGCUGCGAGCAGUGCCACCUCAUGGUACUCGGAGGGAGGUUGUCCGUGGUGAGUUCGCAUUAUUUAAUGAUGCCCAAUACACGGUCGACCUCUUUUCGGUAUCAGAUCUCACCAGGUGUCUUCUUGGACCUGAUGCCGAUUUAGGGGACACCAUACUCAUGUUGGUUCCACACCAGUGCAACUGAACAUGUGUGUGGCCCUGGAACCAAUGGGUAGGUGCUGCUAGCACUCCUAAUCCUCAGCCAGUGCAUUCCUUGGGAAGGAGCAUGUGAUCUGUGCUCAAGACCCCUCUGUGACUGAGGAAGUGGUGGUGCCCAUGAUGCUUCUGGGGUUUUGUGUUUUUUUUUUUAAAGAAAAACAAUGUAUAGUUCUCUUCUCUUUCACUAUUAAAUCUUACCAUGGAGGAAGGACUUCUUAGACAUGUUGACAAAUUCAGGGAAGGGGCAUUGAUUUCAGCAUUCUUGGGGACUCACUGGAAGGGUGACUCACCACAUCUGUUGAUCUGGAGGCCACAGCAAAUUUAAGAACAGAAGACAGUUGCAUUUUCAAUUUCUUGUUUUUCUUUUCAAAAAGGAUAAUUAUUCUACCUUAUUACCAUAUUUAUGAAAAUGACACAUGCUUAAUAAAAUUCAAGCGAUGUGGAAAAAUCUAAAUGAAAAAGAAGGAAAAUUGCCCAAUUCUCUGGCACCCAGAAAUAACCAUUAAGGGCUUUAGAAAUUUCAUACACCUGUUUGAGCAUACAUGCAAAUAGAAAAACAAGACAGACGCAGGGAAAAUAUGAGAUCACACUGUACCUAAUCAUUUUAUUAAAAAUGCUAACUAUAAUUUUCCUUGAAUUUAUCAUAAAAAACAAGCUAAAGGAGAUUGAAAUGAUUGAUAAAUGUUUCUCGCUUUACCACCACAGGUAGCAACUCCUAAAAGAUCCCUGUAAAAUUAAGAAAAAUUAGAGUGUAAAAAUUAAGUGGUUAGGAUUGUUAUGGUUUUUAACUAUUUCAAUUUCACUCCUAGUUCAGAAAGAUAAAGAAGUCAGCACUCUUAUUCUUCCUUUGCUUACUAUCUCCUGCUUUUUCUCAAUUAUACAUUUUAAUUUUACAUUAUAAAUAUCUGCAAUUUGUUCUAGAACUAUAAUUCUUGCAGGUGUUUUGCCGUAGUUCUAUAUUUAAAUGAAUUCAUUUCUGACCACAAGGUUUGUUUUUUUUUAACUGAGGUUUCUCCAUUCUUUAGUUUUUAACUUUAAUUUAUCUCUCAAUGGAAAUGAUCUUAUUGUUUCUGUGAGAAUAGCUCAUAGACACUACCCUUGAGUUCCUGUGCAUUUGAGAGUAUAUAUCUCUUUAUGCACAAGGGACAGCUUAACUAGGUAUAAAAGUCUCAGCCUACUUGUUUUUUCUCAGAAAUUUAUAGCUAUUGUCCACUGUUUUUUGCACUGAGGCUUUCACUAGCUGUCUUAAUGUGGCUUCUCCAUGUAGCUCUUACUUACCUGGACUAUUUUAUCUAGUGAUCUUCACAAACCUUGUUGGAAAGACUUUGAGGUACUAUGUUCUGUGAGGUAUUUCGUCUCUGAGAAUGCCUGACCAUUGCUCUUACACCUUUUCCCAUCUGUCCAUUUUUUUUUCAUUCUGUUCUAUUUGGCCUUUAUGAUUUCAAGUUUUUAAAAUUUCUUUAGUCACUUUAAAGAUGUUUAUUGUAUAAUUUCUUUCAGCUUUAGGGAUACAAGCCCCUUUCUUUGUCGAAUCUAUUGACUCUCAUGAUGGUGCUUUUCUUCGUGGUUUUUGUAGCUUUGUGUUGUGAGGUUAUCAUCAGUUGAGCACUUAGGUGUUUCUGUUUUGUUUCAAUCCCUAUGCACAUGAGUUUGCAUUUGGUUCUGCCUGGUACCCCAAGGAAUUUACCAGUUGGUACCAGUUUUUCAACUCAUUUUGUUGGCUUAAGGAUUCCCAGACAUAUGGCUGGCAGAAGUCCUCACCAUAUCUUUGUCCUGAACCUUUGGUAUCUCACAGGAGACCUCAUUCUAUCCACUCCCUAAAAAUGACAAAUUCUCUUAUCCCUGGCCAUUAUAAAAUUUUCUGGUUCCCCUUUCCAUUCCCAGAUCAACUUCUCCUGGAUGCACGGUCAUGUCUUUUCAUCCUGCUUGUACUUGAACUUGACUGUAGACCCUUGGAGCCUCUAGCCAGCACAGCAUCCCUUAGAUCCCUUAGUGGCAGGUUGCAAACAUGUUGCUCUGAACUAAUUCUUUUCAUUAACACCUGAGGGUUUUGCCUUUCAGCUGUAUGUUUAUUUGGGAAUUGAUUUUGCCUGCUGUUGCAUUUUAUCCAACACUUCUCAAUGUUUGUGGAGGAGAGGGUUCCCUAUCAGUGCUUGUUGCUGGGAUGGAGCCUUUGAGCUGAAUGGUGGGUGAACUUGGCAUGACAUUCUUGGCUCCCAGUUUCUUCCCUCUGAACUUUGUAAACUUGCCUCCAUUGCUUUCUGGUGUUAAACCACUGCUGUGGACAAGCCUGGGGACAGCUGCUUUCCCCUUGGAUGGAUGAACUUUUUUUUUUCCUGCUUAGAUUUCCUGAUUCUUUCUUUAGUCUUGAAUAUUGGUGACUUUACCGGGUUAUGACUCAGUCACUAUUUUUAUUCAUUAGUUUUUCUGAAUCAUAGUAUGCCUUCUUGAUGAGUAGAUUUAAUCGUUCCUUUGUUUCAAGGAUUUAUUCAUUUUAUGGGCACUUUUCUACUCCAGGUGUUGGUUUUUUCUUUGGUGAAAUAAUCUGUUUCGUUCAUUUCAUUGUGUACUGGAGGAGAAGAAAGUCUGUCAUCUGGCCCCUUGCUGCCAUCUGUCUGCACGUCAGUCUGUUGUCAUUUGCACUGUGCAUUUGUCUAUUUAAAACAAUCCUACCCAGAUGCCCCCUCCUGAGUGUCACCUUCCACCCUGGCAGGAUGCCUUAUGGCAAUGCCACUUCUGAGAUGGUCGUGGGAGUCAGCACCACUGGCCAGGUAUGUGAAUUUUCUGCUAACAAUGGAAGAGUUUGAAAAACCGUAUAUGAAGUACCAUUAACCCCAAGCAUGCAAUCUAUCCUUAGGAAGACUUCCUGGAAAUUAUGCUCACCUUUGGGGAUGAGGCCAUGAUUCUGAGGUCAGUGCCAUGCCAUGGUCUAAUAAAGUUUGCAUUCAAUGCUGUUUGUUUCUUUAUGAUCAAUAUUGUAAAGUCAGUCUCUUUGUCAUGGACUCAGCUUUGGAGGGUUCCUGGACACAAGGCCUGUGUAAGGAAAGGAUCAUUACUGUCAGCCUCGAUGCUAAUGUGAGAUGAGGGAAUGUGCCCUGCUCUGAUCCAAAUGCUGAGUUUCUGUGCACUUGGCCUCUCCACCAUCAGGUUCCCUGGCAGUGCUCCUUUAGACAUGCACCCACCUUGGCAAAGGCAUUGAGGUCUGGAUGGCUGCAGGGUCCGGGAUGGAAUGGUUGAAUACAGGGCGUGUGCUUUCUUCUCAACCCUCUUGCAGUCCGUCUGUUAACCCUCAAUGUUCACUGUCUCCUAGGGGGACUUCCUGGAGGAGGCCAACUUUGGAGAACAGGCACUGACAUUGGGUCUGCACUAGCGUGUGGUACUUGAAGAUAGGUUAUCCGUGUUGCCUUCGCUUUAUUUGUGACGAAUCAUACACGGUUGACCUAUUUUUCAGUACCAAAUCCCGCCUUGGAGGGCUUCCUGGAGUGGAGUCUCACUUCAGGGUGUCAGCUCCUCUCCAGGGUAAGGAAAGGGACCAUUGACCAUAGCCGACCCAGCAGUGUGCCCUGGCCCUAACCCUGUGUGUGCCCCAUCCUUGGGGAGGUUUCUAGAGAUGGUGCCAGCUUUGGGGAAGAAGUGGAGCUUUUCCUAUCAGAGCUACUCUGUGGUACUGGUGGAGAGGUCUUCCAUGAUGCAUUCGAUUUAUUUUUUGACCAAUCCUACAUAGUGGACUCUUUUGAAAGCAUUAAAUCUAGCCUUAAAGCACCCUCGGGUGGUGCCGAGUUUAGGAACUAGAACUGGCGUCUGAAUGCCUGAACGCACGGCGAAGCUGACAGUGUGCACACUCUUCUUGGUGGGUCGUGCACCUGCAGGCGUCCUGCUUGCUUACCAUGGCGGUUUCCUCGAAAAAGGCGGCAGUUCCCUCAUCGGCUCACUGCAUGUUUGACAAGACACCGUCUUGCUGUCUUCCCUGCUGCCCUCUCUUCAUGUAUCACAGAUGGUGCUCUGCAGACCUCUCUGCUGUGGCACUUCCCUCCCUGAAUGGCUUCCUGCAAGAGGUGCUAAUUGCAAGUAAGGGAUGGAGUGCGGCCCGGACCGCAGAGCUUAUUUCGUGGGUGGUGUGUUGCCACCUUCCUGACUCUCAGUAUCCCGUCCGUCCUCAGGCCUGCUGCUGGGACGCGCUGGAAGCGAGCACCCAAGUCAGGUACUCGAAUGGAGGUUGUCCAUGGUGUGUUCAUUUUAUUUAUGAUGAGUAUUACAUGGCCAAUCUCCUUUCGGUACUCAAUUCUUCUUGGGAAACGUCACGAGGGGAAAGCCCAGCCGGCACCUGCGCAGGGUAAGGAAGUGGAUCACCUCCGCAUGACAGGUGCUCUCUGUGUGACUUACAUCACUUGGCCCAUAUCCCGGCCAUCAUUAGGAGGAAUUCCCCGAAAUGAUGCUGACGUUUUAGUUGACAUUGUGGUCUUCUAGUCGCAUCCUUGAAGACUCGUCAGUGAAUAAACCACAUUUAGUCAACCUUUUUAGGUGUGAAAUCAUCUUGGCUGUGUGGCACACUUUAGGGAAAGGAACUCCUGGCGGAAUGGAAGACAUCCACAUUACCCCCUCAAAUACCUUAUCUUCUGGGUGACCUCUGGGAAGCAAGGGGUGAAGGGGGUUUCCUCAGCAGUGAGAAUUAAUGUUGUUUAAAGACACGUUUCCAUGGCACGACUCGGUUAUUCCUACUGCAAGACGAGAAUUGUUAAUAGCAUUUAUUACUACCUUAUGUUGCCAGCUGUGUGCCCUUGGAAAAUCCCUUCACCUAUCAGCUCUCUGGGCCUCAGUCUCUUCCUCUGUAAAGCAGGGUUAACAGCGGAGUGGAAACGUGCUCUUUGUGAAGUGUCUAGACAGCGUCUGGCACGUGGCUGUAGGAUAAGCAUUGUUUCUGAGGAUGGUCAUUAUAUGAAUGUUAUGUCAUCUGCACUCAUUGUCCUCUCGCCACUAGAAUGGAAGCUCCCUGAGGGCAGAGUCCUUGUCUGUUUUGCCUGGCGCUGUGUCGCCAGAUGUGCACAGUAGGUGUGAUGCUGAAUGAAUGAAUAGGCAGCGUGACCUGUUUUCUUGGUUGAACUCUCUUUGAGGCCUCCUGGAAUGGAGUGCAUGGAGUACAGUCACCUGAGCCUGUGCUGUCCCUGUGACGCAGCCCCACCCACCCUCUGAGGAUGCUGCGCUGGACGAGGAGUCGCCAGCCUUCAGGUCGGGUCCUCCCUCAAACCCCUGUAGGCUGGACUGAACACGGUCACAUGGUUCAUAGGCAGCCCCCUUCUCUGUGUGAAAUCCUGCUUCAGAGACUUCCAGAGGAGAUACCGGCUCUAGGGCUGGACCUUGGUGUUCCAGCCCCUCUAGGGUAGGUGACCAGGGGCUGACUCUAGCUCGGGCUGACCUGUGAUGUGUGUGUGCAUAGCCUCGCCCCCACUGCCUGCUCCAGGGCUACAGAAGCUGGUCCAUGACCAACCGUGUUCUGACCACUGCCUGGGGGGCUCCUCGGGGGUAGAGAGAGAGAGAGAGCAAGAGGGGAGAGAGCGAGCCAGCAAGCCAGCGAGCCUGCAGCUGGAGUCAGCAGGGAGGUCCCGCAGGCAAUGCCGCCUUUGGUGAAGAGGCAUCUCGGUGUGUUCUUGCCCGUGCUGAUGUUUGACCCUUGAGCAGAGGUUGCCCUUGGUGAAUUCGCUUUAUUUAUGUUGAAUCACACAAAGGCAACUUUUGUUUGAGUAUCAAAUCCUGCUUGGGAUGGCUUCCGGGACCCAGUGGCAAGCUCAGGGGCAUCUACACCCCUCCCGUGAGCAAGAAUGGACGGGGUAGACGUGGGUGGUCUGCCCUCUGCGGUCCUCUGCGGUGGAUGAGAACAGAUGUCGCUCAGAGAACACAAGCUUCAUUCAUGAUGGGGGCGGGGCUCGCGGCCCGGGGAGGAUGGCGUCGGUGUCGCCUCGGCUUUAGCUCUUACCCUGGACCCUGUCUCUUUACAUCACCAUUUUGGCUGUGUUGAUCCCAAAGACAUUUUGACUCCACCAUUUUUUUUUCGGAAGGUAUUUGACCUCGCGGAUAAACAAAGAGCUCACACUUGGCAGGGUCUGUGACGAGUCUGCAGCCCCAGACCCCCGUCUCGCUCACAAGCACUGUGCUUCUUUCUGCACCUUUCCUUGUCUCUAUGGUUCUCUUUCUAUCCCCCAACCAAACAUUGUUCCCAAUUUUCUCCUGGGUUAUGAAACAAAUAGAGGCUAUCAGUAUCUCAUCCCAUUUGUAUUAAAUAAUACUGAUAAAAAUAAUCAACACAAAAUAAAACUAAAAACAGCUGAAACGGCACAGCGCUAAAUGUGUUCAGUUGACUACAAAUUGGCAGAAGAAUCCAAUUUUCUUGACAACAUUUCAGCUGUGACAUUUGACCUGGGGAAAUAGAAAGCUGCCGACGUGGCAGCCAUGGAAGGAAAUUCACAGUGGCGGCGGUGAUAAACAGCGAUAUUUGAUGUAGACAAGAACACAUUGAGGAAUCAAAUCUUCAUGCAGAUUUUUAAAUGGAAAAGAAUUGAUCCUAAUGAAAAUGAUUUGGGGAAAAUAACAAGGGAAAUAAAAGAAAUGAAAACAGCUCAACAGCGCGGUCAGGAAAGCUAAACAGGGAAUUGGAUUAGUAUAAUGGCAUUGGCUCUGAAAAACACGUUUCUAUGAAAAUCAAUGUUGGUACAAUUCUUGUGAAGAUGGUUACAUUUGUGCGUGUUUACAGUGGAGUUGGUGGGGUCAGUAGGAACCUAGGGUCAAAAAAUGGGAUACAGUCUCCCCCUUUAUGCAGUUGAUCUUUUCUUGCUGCCCCAAACCUUCCCGAGAGCUUCCCGGAAAGGUGUGCUGACUUCAGGCGUGACACACUGGUAAGGCGUCCUCCCGGGGAUCUGGGUGCAUGUUGUCCCCAGAGCAUUCACUACGUAAGUGACAAGCAUCACCUGGUCUCCCUCCAUCCCCACGGAGGGUUCUGGGUGAGACGCUGACUCCGGAGGGAAGCAGAAGUUCUACGGUCGGUGGGGUCUGGUCUUUCAGGACAGUUGCUUCUGUGAACUCAGAAAAUCUGAGACAGCUCUUAGUUAAUUUAGAAAGUUUAUUUUGCCAAGGUUGAGGAUACACCCGUAACACAGCUUCAGGAAGUCCUGUGGUCAAGGCACAGCUUGGCUUUAUACAUUUUAGGGAGACGUGAGACAUCAUUCAGUACAUGUAAGAAGUACAUUGGUUUUGUCUGCAAAGGUGGGACAACUUGAAGCGAAGGCAGGAAGGAGGGAGCUUCCAGGUCACAGACAGGUGAUACACAAAUGAUUACAUUCUUUCGCGUUUCUCAUGAGCCUUUCCAAAGGAGGCAAAUCAGAUACGCACUGUCUCAGUGAGCAGAGGGAUGACUUUGAAUGGAAUGAGAGGCAGGUUUAUCCUGAGCAGCUUCCAGCUUGAGUUUUCCUUAGUGAUUUUAGGGGCCCGAGAUAACUUUCCUUUCACACUUCCAAGGCUAUUGCUGAACACACAGGCAUCCAGGAACAUUCUGGGGUUCGGUCCUUCCUCAGACUCUGCUGUUGAUACCUUACAUGGUUCCAUGCUGGCUCCAAGGACGUGCCCUUCGUUGGUGCCGAAUGUCAUUUGGUCAUGGAGGCUGAAAGUCAUUCUGGAGUUGAUGUUUCCAAGGUCAAAAACCUUGCCGGGGCUGUGGAAAGAGCUCGUUGUUUGCUGGCCUGCUUUGUUGGUGACCAGCAUUGCACAUGGCUUUCUUUUCAGAUCAAACCCUACCUGGAGAAUUUCCAGAAGCAACAGCACCCUCAGGAGGCGGCCUGCAGCCGGAGCCCUCUCCAGGGCAGGUGCCUGAGGGCUGCCCAUGGGACAGGCCCGAUUGUACCCACGGUGCAUGUCAUCUGUUCCACUCCUGCUGACUCCGGUGCGUUCCGGGACCACCUUGGGAGGUGAUGCCUGCCCAGGGAAGGAGGCUCUGAUGCAGGUCAGUGCCCACGGCUCCUGAAGGGAAGUCGUCUGUGACAUCUUUUCUUUCUUUACAGCAGGCCUCGCAUGGCUGGCCUCUUGCUCCACUUGUAGCAAGGCGCAGAGGGCUCUCUGAGCUCAUGCCAACGUCAGGGAAAGGACUCUGCUGUCGGUCCCACUGCAAAGUUCACAGAAUGGGUGGUGGGCACCGAAUCCGGACUCUGCCUGUGGCAUCCAUCGUCUGGCCCGAUGCUUGCGGGCUGCCCGCUCCGGGAGGCACCUUCUGGGUGUUCUCUGAGUCUGGGGAAGGUUGGGUUCUGAGGUCAGGGCUGCCCUGACCCUUGUGAAGAGAAGACACCUGUGACUCACCUGCUUUCUUCUGCUGCAUUUAUCCCCCCAGUCCCUUAUUUUGAAUGUCUCACUUGCUUUAUGAGGCUAAUCAGAUGGUCAGCCAGCUGUUGAUAACUGUGAAGUUACCCUUUGAGGGAUCCUGGGGUGAUGCCUCUGUGGGCUGGAGAUGGUGCUGGUGAGACCGCAGGUCUGGGGUCAGCGUUGUGCCCCGUUGAGCUCCUGCCAAAGGCAUCCUCUGCUGGGAGGGAGGCUCUGUGCUUGUGCAGGGGUCCCUACAGGGGCACCCCCUCUCAGGGUCUGGGAAUGAAAAGCGGGUGCGAGCAGGGUUUCAUUUUCAUCUUUAGCAAGGCGCCCAAGGAAGGUUGCUGUCUUUUCAGUAUAAGAUCCUACCUGGGUCUUGCACUUAACUUCUGGGAAGAGUCUCUAGAUUCAUUCUGGAAGGGGUUGGAAUCGUUGGACUUGGUGAUUGGGAACGUCCUUGGAGAGUGUGAGGCUCUGGGCUCUCAAUGCCCAGACCUUGUGCUGCCCUUGGGGGAGGGUCUUCUGCAAGCACAGCCGCCUGCAAGCAUCCACCUUAGUCCGAGCAUCUGAGCCUCUCCAUGGUACUCGGGGAGAGGUUACCCGAGCAACUUUGCAUCUGGACGACGAAUGUUGCUCGGUGAACCCCUUUUCGGUAUCAAAUUCCACCAGGGAGGCCGUCUUGGAGGCUGGGGCACCUCGGGGAAGGACGCCGGCAUCAGCACCAUUCUGGGGUACGGGGAUGGAUGGUCGACCAGUUGGAAAGUAAUUGUUUCUAAUGUACUUCACCUGGUCCACUAGCCGUCCGUAUCCGCUGCAGCCUGUGGGGCCUGCGGGCCGGGGAGCCGAUCGCGCUUCAGCUCAGCGCCUUUCCUGGUACUUGAAGGGAGAUCGACCGUGUUAUAUUCGCUUUAUUGACUUCGAAUAAUACAUGGUUGAUCUUUUCUCAGUAUCAAAUCUCACCUUGGAGGACCUGUUGGAGAUGAAGCCCUUUUGAGGGUGGGAGCAGGACGGGUGCUUUGGAGUCGCUGCCUCAGUGGGGCCUGGUCACCGAGAGUGGGCCGGGCAGGGGUCUCUUUCCUGUCUCUGUGUCUUCUCACCUUUGAUGUCCCAUCCGUCCUCAGGACUGCUUCCCGGGGGCAACGCUGGCACCACGGGACGCAGCAGCCACGUUCUUGAGCCGAUGGCACUCUGGGUACCUGAGAAGAGGUUGUCUGUGAUGAGUUCGCUUUUAUUAAUGACGAAUAUAACACAGAUGGCCUGUUUUCAGUACCGCUACCGCCCGGUGGUGUGCGGGCGCCACGCCUGAGGCGGGACUUUCCAGGGUACGUGAAUGCAUGGGCUGGUGUGACAUUUGUCAUCCUUUCCCCUGACCCCCGCCAUUGAAUCAUUUUGGGAGAGCUUUCGGGGGGCCAUGUGGACUUUGGGGAAGAUGCUAGGGUUGUGCACUGUGGUGGGGUGCGGUCAUGAAGCUGAUGAGCAAUGGUGACGGGGCUCAGUCUGUUUUUCAUGGCCAGUGUCAUCGAGGCAGAGGACACGGGGGAGCCAGUCCCGCUGGAAGGCAUCCUGCUGGAAGGCCACCCGCCCCUCGCCAGGAUGUUGGGGGCGGCUGCAUGCAUUCCCUGCGCCUGGGCUGCCUUCUGCUCAUCCCAGUGCUGUGAGACCCUGGGUGGGAGCUGUUGCCUUGGGUGGCCGUGUGCGUGUGCUGCUCCUUGUGGUGCCUGAGGAGAGGUGGCCUGUGUUGCAUUCGCAGAAAUCAUGACACACAAGACACGAGCGGCCUCUCUUCAGUAUCAGAUCCCACCUGCAUGAUUCCUGCACCUGCUGAUGUCGGGGAGGUCCGGUUGCGCGCCCUGUGGGCCCCCAGAGGCAUGGCUGGUGGCCGAGCACGCGCUUGACUUCCACCUGCAGCCCUGUGCUGGCCUCCAUCCUGGAGGCGGGUGGCGGGUGGCAGGGCCCGUCCCUGAGGAAGAAGCCUCCUCCCUGGAGUCAAUGCUGCUCAGUGGUACCUGAAAUAGGUUGCCUGUGAGGUGUUCACUUUCUAUAUGAUGAAUAUUAUACAGUCAACCUCUUUCCGAUAUCGAAUCCCACCUUGGAUGCCUUCCUCUUUGCUGUCAACUCCAGGCAGCAGCUGGCUCUGCGCUGGUUGACCCUAUGGACUUUGUGUAGGACCUGUGUCACUAGGCCUGUUAAUUUUCCAGCUCCGCUCUGUUCUGGGGGGCUUUGGAAGUGUGAUGGAAUGGCAUCCCCAAUUCCAGCGUCAGCGGGAGCACCCGCCAUGCCCUUGCUUCUGGUUGGCACAUCCCCCGGGCUGGGCUGGCUCUCAGCUACCUGAUGCUUAUGUCAUAUUUGCACCCCUGGCCUGCCCAGACUACAGGAAGAUGACCAGAGGCCUGUUUGCAGCUGACCUGGAGACUUAGUGACUCCAGAACAUGCUGCCCAUGCCCAGGGUCCAGGGCUGAAGGCAAGGAGCACCUCAGGAGUGACCCCAAAGAAUGAGCUAAGGCUGUCCUUUAUCACUCAUUGUUGAUCAGUGAGCUCCUGGGCUCGGGAGAUCUUCCUGAGCUGGGCUCCCGUCAUCCCCUAGUUGAGACGUCGCUGCCUUGGAAGUCACAGCCUGUGCCUGCCCUCCCCCUUGUCCUCCUCCUCGGGACCGCUCCUCUCCAUGCCUAGCAUGGGAGUGGGGAUCCCUGGCACCAUCCCUCUGGGCUGCCUGCUCCCACUCUCCCUCAGCACCCCUCUUCUCCAGCCCCUGGGCCACAGCCCUGCUGGAGAGGCCGCCCCACAGGCUAGGUCCCUCCAGCCUGUGGCACUUGGGUCUCCCUCCAGUGCCCCUCCCUCUGCCAGGGAGAGCAUUUCCAAGUGCAGAGUCCAACUGUUUAACUCCACUGCCCAGGGCACCUCUGCAGGCCCCUUCCCUUGGGCUUGGUGCCAAAAUGAUCCAAGGACUCCCCAGGCCCUCAGAGUGGCAGCCCCCCUCUUCUUUUGGAGCCACAGCCUAUCCCCCACGUGUUUUCAUCCUUCAUUCUGGCCUUGCACAUUUCCCUCCUUCUGGAGCUGGGUCCUGGGCCGCCCUGCUCUGCCCUCGGCUGCCUCCUGUCCAGGGUCCGGCCCUUCCUUCCUUAAAGGCCCACAUCCUUUGCAUUUUCCUUUCCCAGGGGUUCACAAUUCCCAAGGGGAUGGAAUGUCUCUUGUUCAGCAAGGUCAUCCCUGAUAACCCUAUAAAAGCAGCUCCCCUUGCCUCUUCCCUAUCACAUUCUACCAGUUGCCCCGUUACUGUUUUCUUCCUAGCUUACAGUUCUCUGAAAUUGCCUAAUGUUAAUGUCUA